AUUGAACGCUGGCGGCAUGCCUUACACAUGCAAGUCGAACGGCAGCACGGGGGCAACCCUGGUGGCGAGUGGCGAACGGGCGAGUAACGCAUCGGAACGUGUCCUGUUGUGGGGGAUAACUAGUCGAAAGAUUAGCUAAUACCGCAUGACCUCGGGAGAGAAAAGCAGGGGAUCGCAAGACCUUGCGCCAUUGGAGCCGCCGAUGUCCGAUUAGCUAGUUGGCGGGGUAAGGGCCCACCAAGGCGACGAUCGGUAGCUGGUCUGAGAGGAUGAUCAGCCACACUGGGACUGAGACACGGCCCAGACUCCUACGGGAGGCAGCAGUGGGGAAUUUUGGACAAUGGGGGCAACCCUGAUCCAGCCAUGCCGCGUGAGUGAAGAAGGCCUUCGGGUUGUAAAGCUCUUUCGGUGGGAACGAAACGGUGGAUGCUAAUACCGUCCACUACUGACGGUACUCACAGAAGAAGCACCGGCUAACUACGUGCCAGCAGCCGCAGUAACAC
rnacentral:rRNA from 1 species